AGCGAACGCUGGCGGUAGGCCUAACACAUGCAAGUCGAACGGCAGCACAGUAAGAGCUUGCUCUUACGGGUGGCGAGUGGCGGACGGGUGAGGAAUACAUCGGAAUCUACUUUUUCGUGGGGGAUAACGUAGGGAAACUUACGCUAAUACCGCAUACGACCUACGGGUGAAAGCAGGGGAUCUUCGGACCUUGCGCGAUUGAAUGAGCCGAUGUCGGAUUAGUUAGUUGGCGGGGUAAAGGCCCACCAAGGCGACGAUCCGUAGCUGGUCUGAGAGGAUGAUCAGCCACACUGGAACUGGGACACGGUCCAGACUCCUACGGGAGGCAGCAGUGGGGAAUAUUGGACAAUGGGCGCAAGCCUGAUCCAGCCAUACCGCGUGGGUGAAGAAGGCCUUCGGGUUGUAAAGCCCUUUUGUUGGGAAAGAAAAGCAGCAGGUUAAUACCCCGCUGUUCUGACGGUACCCAAAGAAUAAGCACCGGCUAACUUCGUG
rnacentral:rRNA from 1 species